CCGUCUAUAUACGUAUAGCAUAUCAAUAAGCGGAGGAAAAGAAACUAACUAGGAUUCCCUUAGUAACGGCGAGUGAAGCGGGAAGAGCUCAAAUUUGAAAUCUUCAAGGUUUUACCUUGACGAAUUGUAGUUUAAAGGAGUGUUUUCUGUUGGUGUUUUGGUAAAAGUUCUUUGGAAUAGGACAUCAUAGAGGGUGAGAAUCCCGUAUUUGACCAUUACUUUCCAGCGUUGUGAUACACUUUCAAAGAGUCGGAUUGUUUGGGAAUGCAGUCCAAAAUGGGUGGUAAAUUUCAUCUAAAGCUAAAUAUUGGCGAGAGACCGAUAGCGAACAAGUACCGUGAGGGAAAGAUGAAAAGAACUUUGAAAAGAGAGUUAAACAGUACGUGAAAUUGUCAAAAGGGAAGCGUUUGACACCAGUGUUGUUUUUCUCGAAAAUCAAUUAAGAAAUGACUGAUUUUGUGUUGUAUUGACCUUUAUCAGCUUUCUUCACUCUUUUCUGAGUCUUUUUUAAUGCACUUUUCGGUUAACAAAGUCAACAUCAAUUUCUUUUGUUGUAAAAGGGUCAUUGGAAGGUGGCUUUCUUUUCGGAGAAAGUGUUUAUAGCCCUUAUGCCUCUACAAUCGGAGAGAUUGAGGUCUGCAGCGUAGGAUCCUUCGGGGUUAGAUACAUUUGUGCUAAGUUAUAGCCUUUCAUAGACAACUUGUUGACUAUGAUCAGUCAUGUAGCUUACUCGCUUAUGCUAUUUUACCUACGCUUAGGAUGUUGACUGAUAUGUAGUCGUA
rnacentral:rRNA from 1 species